rnacentral:rRNA from 1 species
GAUGAACGCUGGCGGCGUGCCUAAUACAUGCAAGUCGAGCGAACAGACGAGGAGCUUGCUCCUAUGACUUUGUCGGCGGACGGGUGAGUAACACGUGGAUAACCUACCUCUAAGACUGGGAUAAUUUCGGGAAAUCGUAUCUAAUACCGGAUAAUAUAUUGAACCGCAUGGUUCAAUAGUGAAAUACGGUUUUUCUUUCACUAAUAGCUGAAUCAGCGCCGGAUUAGCUAGUGGGUAAGGUAAAGGCUUACCAAGGCAACGAUUCGUAGCCGACCUGAUAGGGUCAUCGGACACACUGGAACUGAGAAACGGUCCAGACUCCUACGGUAGGCAACAGUAGGGAAUCCUACGCAAUGGACGAAAGCCUAACGGAGCAAAGCCGCGUGAGUGAUGAAGGUCUACGGCUCGUAAAACUAUGUUAUCAGGAAAGAACAAAAGUGCAAGUAACUAUGCACGUCUUGACGGUACCUAAUGAGAAAGCCACGGCUAACUCCGUG